UUGAAUAAACUUGUCUGGGUUGUUGCUGGUCCUUAGGGAUAUGUGCACACCUUGGCAUUUAAAAUCUUAUAACCACUUGUGCAUUUUUGUAGACCUAGAGAUAUCUCUUGAGAAGGACUCGGUUCAAAGAUUGCAAUAAUGAAAUAAUGCUUUCUUUACAUUUCUGGUCUAUGAAUUUAUACACUUACUCCUAACAAAAUGAGUGUUGGCUUUAUAUUAUAAAUGUA
rnacentral:misc_RNA from 1 species